AUUAGGAUAAAUGGGGAUAGUAGAGACCUGCUCAACUGGGCGAUUGUUAAAGUUGCUGAUCCUGGGGAUUGUGUCAUUGUAAUCCAUGUUUGUCAAAGUUCUGACCGUGCAUCGAAAGAUAAGCCCUUAUUUGAUGAAUUCCUAGAAGGAUACAAAAGCCUUUGUAAUGUAAACAAGGUAGCUCUUAUUGCUCAUAUAUUGACUGGAAGUUCGGUUAAGAAGACUCUGGUCAGACAGGCAAAAAACUAUGCUGCCAGGGCUGUGGUUUUGGGAACAAG
rnacentral:misc_RNA from 1 species